rnacentral:rRNA from 1 species
UACGUAGGUGGCAAGCGUUGUCCGGAUUUACUGGGCGUAAAGAGCGCGCAGGCGGUCGUUCAAGUCGCGUGUGAAAGCCCCCCGGCUCAACUGGGGAGGGUCACGCGAUACUGAUCGACUCGAAGGCAGGAGAGGGUAGUGGAAUUCCCGGUGUAGUGGUGAAAUGCGUAGAUAUCGGGAGGAACACCAGUGGCGAAGGCGAACUACCUGGCCUGUUCUUGACGCUGAGGCGCGAAAGCUAGGGGAGCAAACGGGG